rnacentral:rRNA from 1 species
GAUGAACGCUGGCGGCGUGCUUAACACAUGCAAGUCGAACGGAGUGGCGAACGGGUGAGUCACACGUGGGUGACCUGCCCUGCACUUCGGGAUAAGCAUGGGAAACUGGGUCUAAUACCGGAUAGUGUGGGAUGGGCCCGCGGCCUAUCAGCUUGUUGGGUGGGUAAUGGCCUACCAAGGCGGCGACGGGUAGCCGGCCUGAGAGGGUGGAAGGCCACAGUGGGACUGCGAAACGGCCCAGACUCCUACGGGAGGCAGCAGUGGGGAAUAGUGCACAAUGGGCGGAAGCCUGAUGCAGCGACGCCGCGUGGGGGAUGACGGCCUUCGGGGUGUAAACUCCUUUCACCAUCGACGCGGUAGAUGGAGAAGAAGCACCGGCUAACUACGUGCCAGCAGCCGCGGUAAUAC